UACAGAGGGUGCGAGCGUUAAUCGGAGUUACUGGGCGUAAAGGGCGCGUAGGUUGUUAUAUAAGUUAGUUGUGAAAUCCCCGGGCUUAACCUGGGAACUGCAACUAAUACUGUGUGACUAGAGUACUGUAGAGGGUAGUGGAAUUUCCGGUGUAGCGGUGAAAUGCGUAGAGAUCGGAAGGAACACCAGUGGCGAAGGCGGCUACCUGGACAGAUACUGACACUGAGGCGCGAGAGCGUGGGGAGCAAACAGG
rnacentral:rRNA from 1 species